rnacentral:rRNA from 1 species
AACGAACGCUGGCGGCAGGCCUAAUACAUGCAAGUCGAACGAUCUCGCAAGAGAUAGUGGCGCACGGGUGCGUAACACGUGGGAAUUUACCCUUGACUACGGAACAACGUCGGGAAACUGACGCUAAUACCGUAUAAUGACUCCGGUCCAAAGAUUUAUCGGUCAAGGAUGAGCCCGCGCUAGAUUAGGUAGUUGGUAGGGUAAUGGCCUACCAAGCCUACGAUCUAUAGCUGGUCUGAGAGGAUGAUCAGCCACACUGGAACUGAGACACGGUCCAGACUCCUACGGGAGGCAGCAGUAAGGAAUAUUGGACAAUGGGGGCAACCCUGAUCCAGCCAUGCCGCGUGAGUGACGAAGGCCUCGGUUGUAAGACUCUUCGGUAUGUGAAGGAUAAUAGACAGUAGCAUAAGAAGAAGACUCCGGCGUAACUACGUGCCAGCAGCCGCGGUAAAGUACUGUACU